rnacentral:rRNA from 1 species
GACGAACGCUGGCGGCAUGCCUUACACAUGCAAGUCGAACGGCAGCGGACCUUCGGGUGCCGGCGAGUGGCGAACGGGUGAGUAAUAUAUCGGAACGUACCUUUCAGUGGGGGAUAACGUAGCGAAAGUUACGCUAAUACCGCAUAUUCUGUGAGCAGGAAAGCAGGGGAUCGCAAGACCUUGCGCUGAUUGAGCGGCCGAUGUCAGAUUAGCUAGUUGGUGGGGUAAAGGCCCACCAAGGCGACGAUCUGUAGCGGGUCUGAGAGGAUGAUCCGCCACACUGGGACUGAGACACGGCCCAGACUCCUACGGGAGGCAGCAGUGGGGAAUUUUGGACAAUGGGCGCAAGCCUGAUCCAGCCAUGCCGCGUGCGGGACGAAGGCC